rnacentral:rRNA from 1 species
GAUGAACGCUGGCGGCGUGCCUAAUACAUGCAAGUCGAGCGAACGGACGCGACGCUUGCUUCUCUGAUGUUAGCGGCGGACGGGUGAGUAACACGUGGAUAACCUCCCUGUAAGACUGGGAUCAUUUCGGGAAACCGGCGCUAAUACCGGAUGAUCUUUUGAACCGCAUGGUUCCAUAGUGAAAGACGGUCUUGCUGUCACUUAUCGCUGGAUCCGCGCUGCUUUAGCUAGUUGGUACGGUACCGGGCUACCAAGGCAACGAUGCAUAGCCGAACUGUGAGGGUGGUAGGCCACCCUGGAAGUUGAACACGGACCAGAGUCCUGCGGGAGGCAGCAGUAGGGAAUCUUCCGCAGUAGGCGAAAGCCUGGCGGAGUAACGCGGCGUGAGUGAUGAAGGUCUUCCGAUCGUAAAACUCUGUUAUGAGGGAAGAACAUAUUUGUAAUGAACUGUGCAGAUCUUGACGGUACCGAAUCAGAAAGCCACGGCUAACUACGUG